CACAGGUGUUGGUGCAAUGCUGAGCCAAAGCGUCAAGGGUGUUGAGCACCCCGUCAUGUUCCUGUGCCUGCUGGAACUGCUGUAACAGGAAACCAGGCUUGGCACCCUACCGUGGCCACAAUCAGCAGCAGGGAUCCAAGCUUGGAUUUUGAAGGUUGACUGUGCUGUUGGUUAGAUGUCUCUUCAUGCUGUGUGAUCCAAAGAAGGUUGAAGAGGCUCCAGGAAGCAGCAAAGGACUGUGGAGCCGACCCGGACUGAUACAGAGAACAUAUAUAUACGUUUGGUGACAGUACACAUCCCUCCAUCCAUUUUCAGACCCGAUUAAUCUGAUUCAGAGCUCCAGCGGGCAACAGCAUUAGGUGCGAAAACAGAAAUCAACCUCAGACAAGGUAACAGCAGUAUAAUUUGGAAGGUAGCAGUUACAGCUUUGGACUUCAAACACUAAAGUUGUGGACUCAAAUCCUGCUACUAAUUCUGUGUGGCUAUGAGGAAGUCACUUCACUUGCCUGUGUUCCAACUGGAAAAACAAACCAAUUGUAACCAACUGUAUCUCUCAGAUGUUGUAUGGUGCUUUGGAUAAAGCUGUGAGAUAAGUAAUAAAAAUACUUAAAUAUCAGUUUGGGAGAAUCUAGGGAUGUCUUUAGAUCUGUUAAGGGUAUAAUUGUGUAUAUCUAAUCUGGUGACUGGCCUGUCUUAAUUUAAUGUUCAUAUUGUCAGAUUGUGGCUGGGGCUUUGUCCCUAGCCACCUCUUCUGUUCUCAAACCACCCAUGACCCCUCGAUUAGUCCCUUUUGCUGUGCAACAGUGAUCAGGCUGUGGUUUCUUGUUCAGAUGUGACUCACUUUUUAUUUUAUGCCCAGUUAGGUACUUUUACCUGUUUUUGUAUCUGUACAUGACAUUUCACCUAUUCUUUGUACUCUAUGUCUUCUACCUGCCUGUUUUUGAUCUGUUGCUUGUGUUUACUACAGCUCUGCAUUGUAGUAAGUGGUCAGGAAAUAUUAAUUAAUGCAUUAAUAUGCUUUUGGCAAAAAUGUUAAGUUAUACAAAUAAUUUUCUUUUUUUUUUUAAUGACAGAUCAAUCACACACACACACACACACAUACGGAAUUCACCUCUCUCACUUAUACAUGUCAAACUUAGGGUCAAUAGCAUUUAAUUUCAUGUCACAUCAUUUUCCACUGCUUAUCCGAGACCAGAGCACAAGCGCUACAGUCUUAGCAGUGAGGUCGACAUCCCUUUUCCUCAGCCACACUUGUUAACACUUACUAUGGAAUCUCAAGGCAUUCUCAUGCCAUCUGGAAGAUAUAAUCAUCCUGGCAGGCCCAGAGUCUUCUCCUGGUUCUCCUCCCAGCUGGUUUUGGUGUAAAACCUUCUGCAGGAGGCAUCAGGACCAUCAGGUGGCUCCUCUCAAUAAGAAGGGUCAUUAGUUAUACUCUGAGCCAUUCCCAGAUGUCUGUGUUUCCCUCUCUAUCUCUAAGGGAGAGCCUAGGCAGAGUGUGGAGAAAGCUCAUUUUGGCCGCUUGUACCUGCAAUCUUGUCCUUUUGGUCAUUACCCAAAGCUGAUAACCAUAGGUGAGGUUAGGGAUGUAGAUCGACUGGAAAAUUGAGUGCUUUGACUUCUGGCUCAGCUCCUUCUUUACUACUAUGGAUCAGUAUAGUGACCACAUACCUCUGUUUGCCUUCCUGAUCCGUUUGUUGGUCUCAUCAUCUAUUUUCCCCUCACUCCAAAAUCCUUAACCUCCGCCACCUGUAGCAGUAACUCACCUCAUACUCAGAGAGGACAGUCCACCUUUUUCAUACUGAGGACCAUGACCUCUGAUUGGGAGGUGUUGAUCCUCAUCCUUGACACUUCACACUCAUUCACAAACAGUCCAAAUGUGUGCUGGAGUUCACAGUCCAAUGAAGCCAACAGAACCACACUAUCAGCAAAAAGCACUAAUGCAAUUCGGUGUCACUUUAGGUUAGGUACUGCAAAAAUGCAUUGAUUACUCAUUUACUCUUAUAUAACAAGAUGUUAACAAAGGCUUCGUUGGGUCCUUUAUAACAAAAAAAAUCAGUAGAUCAGUUAUUCAUCUGAAUGCAGUGUGGCAUAUUGACAUGAUGGUAAAAUUACCUGUUAAUGUCUUAUACUAAAUAUGUAAUAUCAAGAGAAAUGUGUCUCAGUUAAUCCACCACAGACCAACCCACAGUGACGUUCUGCUUGUAGGUCACAUUCUACCACACUUUCUAAUACUGUACUUUCUAAGUGUUAUGAAGAGCCAAAGAAGUGAACACCUGCAAUUCUAAGGCCACUGAACUGGACACCCUCUCAUCUCCAGCUGCGCCUUGAUAUUCUGUCCAUAAAAAUCAUAAACAGGACAGGAGACAAAGCACAGUCUCACACCCAAUGAGAACCAUGCAAAUGUUUUACCAAGUGUAAGGACACAGUUAUCACUAUGGACCAAAUAGCCCUUAUUAAGGGCUCCGAAAUAUGCUUUCCCAGCAUCCCCACAGAAUCCCUUGAAGAAAACAGUCUAAUGGCUUCCAGUCCACAGAACACAUGUAGACCGAGUGGGCACACAUCCAUGCCCCCUCCAGGAUCCUUAUAAGGGUAAAGUGUUGGUCCAUUGUUGAACAGCAUGGACAUAAUCCCCAUUGCACCUCUUGGAUCUGAGCUUCUAUGACUGGGCAAAGUCUCCUUUCCAUUACCAUGGUAUAAGCUUUCCCAGGUAGGGUGAGCAAUGUGAUUCCCUGAUAACUGGAGCACACCCUCUAGUCUCCCUAAAAGGGGGACCACAACCUCGGUCUGCAUUUCAAGGGCACUGCUCACCCAUGACAAUGCAACAAUGUCCAAAGCCUUUAGCAUUUCUGGGAGGAUCUCUUUCCCCCAACAGGCCCUUGCCACUGCGGAGCUGUUUGACUACCUAAGUGACCUCCCUCAGGGAAAUAGGCAUUAAUCCCCCAUUAGCUUCUGGCUCUGCUCCUCCACAGUCAGCCACAUCUACUAAAAGGAGGUAGUGAAGACUUCCAGUAAGUGAUCAGUUAUUUUAUGUUUUUAAUUUAGUUUACUUUGCAGAGACAUUCAAGAGU